GGGGGUAACCUGUCUGUAAUACUGGGAUAACUCCGGGAAACCGGGGCUAAUACCGGAUGCUUGUUUGAACCGCAUGGUUCAGACAUAAAAGGUGGCUUCGGCUACCACUUACAGAUGGACCCGCGGCGCAUUAACUAGUUGGUGAGGUAACGGCUCACCAAGGCGACCAUGCGUAACCGACCUGAGAGGGUGAUCGGCCACACUGGGACUGAGACACGGCCCAAACUCCUACGGGAGGCAGCAGUAGGGAAUCUUCCGCAAUGGACGAAAGUCUGACGGAGCAACGCCGCGUGAGUGAUGAAGGUUUUCGGAUCGUAAAGCUCUGUUGUUAGGGAAGAACAAGUGCCGUUGAAAUACGGCGGCACCUUGACGGUACCUAACCGGAAAGCCACGGCUAACUACGUGC
rnacentral:rRNA from 1 species